rnacentral:rRNA from 1 species
CGGGGUGAGUAACGCGUAGGCAACCUGCCCUUUGCACAGGGAUAGCCAUUGGAAACGAUGAUUAAAACCUGAUAACACCAUUUUAUCACAUGGAAAGAUGGUCAAAGAUUUAUCGGCAAAGGAUGGGCCUGCGUCUGAUUAGCUAGUUGGUGAGGUAACGGCUCACCAAGGCAACGAUCAGUAGCCGACCUGAGAGGGUGAUCGGCCACAUUGGAACUGAGACACGGUCCAAACUCCUACGGAAGGCAGCAG